GGGGAAUAUUGCGCAAUGGGGGAAACCCUGACGCAGCAACGCCGCGUGAGUGAUGAAGGUCUUCGGAUUGUAAAGCUCUGUCUUUGGGGACGAUAAUGACGGUACCCAAGGAGGAAGCCACGGCUAACUACGUGCCAGCAGCCGCGGUAAUACGUAGGUGGCAAGCGUUGUCCGGAUUUACUGGGCGUAAAGAGUAUGUAGGCGGAUAUUUAAGUCAGAUGUGAAAUUCCCGGGCUUAACCUGGGCGCUGCAUUUGAAACUGGGUAUCUAGAGUGCGGGAGAGGAAAGUGGAAUUCCUAGUGUAGCGGUGAAAUGCGUAGAGAUUAGGAAGAACACCAGUGGCGAAGGCGACUUUCUGGACCGUAACUGACGCUGAGAUACGAAAGCGUGGGGAGCAAAC
rnacentral:rRNA from 1 species